ACUAAGCGUACACGGUGGAUGCCCUGGCAGUCAGAGGCGAUGAAGGACGUGCUAAUCUGCGAAAAGCGCCGGCGAGGUGAUAUGAACCCUUGACCCGGCGAUGUCCGAAUGGGGAAACCCAGUGCAAUCCGUUGCACUAUCGUUAACUGAAUACAUAGGUUAACGAGGCGAACCGGGGGAACUGAAACAUCUAAGUACCCCGAGGAAAAGAAAUCAACCGAGAUUCCCCCAGUAGCGGCGAGCGAACGGGGAGCAGCCCGGAGUCUGAAUCAGCUUGUGUGUUAGUGGAACGGUCUGGAAAGUCCGACGGUACAGGGUGAUAGUCCCGUACACGAAAAUGCACAUGCUGUGAACUCGAAGAGUAGGGCGGGACACGUGGUAUCCUGUCUGAAUAUGGGGGGACCAUCCUCCAAGGCUAAAUACUCCUGACUGACCGAUAGUGAACCAGUACCGUGAGGGAAAGGCGAAAAGAACCCCGGCGAGGGGAGUGAAAAAGAACCUGAAACCGUGUACGUACAAGCAGUGGGAGCCUCUUUAUGGGGUGACUGCGUACCUUUUGUAUAAUGGGUCAGCGACUUAUAUUCUGUAGCAAGGUUAACCGUAUAGGGGAGCCGAAGGGAAACCGAGUCUUAACUGGGCGUUAAGUUGCAGGGUAUAGACCCGAAACCCGGUGAUCUAGCCAUGGGCAGGUUGAAGGUUGGGUAACACUAACUGGAGGACCGAACCGACUAAUGUUGAAAAAUUAGCGGAUGACCUGUGGCUGGGGGUGAAAGGCCAAUCAAACCGGGAGAUAGCUGGUUCUCCCCGAAAGCUAUUUAGGUAGCGCCUCGUGAACUCAUCUUCGGGGGUAGAGCACUGUUUCGGCUAGGGGGCCAUCCCGGCUUACCAACCCGAUGCAAACUACGAAUACCGAAGAAUGUUAUCACGGGAGACACACGGCGGGUGCUAACGUCCGUCGUGAAGAGGGAAACAACCCAGACCGCCAGCUAAGGUCCCAAAGUCAUGGUUAAGUGGGAAACGAUGUGGGAAGGCACAGACAGCCAGGAUGUUGGCUUAGAAGCAGCCAUCAUUUAAAGAAAGCGUAAUAGCUCACUGGUCGAGUCGGCCUGCGCGGAAGAUGUAACGGGGCUAAACCAUGCACCGAAGCUGCGGCAGCGACACUUAUGUGUUGUUGGGUAGGGGAGCGUUCUGUAAGCCGUUGAAGGUGUGCUGUGAGGCAUGCUGGAGGUAUCAGAAGUGCGAAUGCUGACAUAAGUAACGAUAAAGCGGGUGAAAAGCCCGCUCGCCGGAAGACCAAGGGUUCCUGUCCAACGUUAAUCGGGGCAGGGUGAGUCGACCCCUAAGGCGAGGCCGAAAGGCGUAGUCGAUGGGAAACAGGUUAAUAUUCCUGUACUUGGUGUUACUGCGAAGGGGGGACGGAGAAGGCUAUGUCAGCCGGGCGACGGUUGUCCCGGUUUAAGCAUGUAGGCGGAGGUUCCAGGUAAAUCCGGUACCUUGUUAACGCUGAGGUGUGAUGACGAGGCACUACGGUGCUGAAGUGAUAAAUGCCCUGCUUCCAGGAAAAGCCUCUAAGCAUCAGGUAACACGAAAUCGUACCCCAAACCGACACAGGUGGUCAGGUAGAGAAUACCAAGGCGCUUGAGAGAACUCGGGUGAAGGAACUAGGCAAAAUGGUGCCGUAACUUCGGGAGAAGGCACGCUGAUGUGUAGGUGAAGCCCCUGCGGGUGGAGCUGAAAUCAGUCGAAGAUACCAGCUGGCUGCAACUGUUUAUUAAAAACACAGCACUGUGCAAACACGAAAGUGGACGUAUACGGUGUGACGCCUGCCCGGUGCCGGAAGGUUAAUUGAUGGGGUUAGCGGCAACGCGAAGCUCUUGAUCGAAGCCCCGGUAAACGGCGGCCGUAACUAUAACGGUCCUAAGGUAGCGAAAUUCCUUGUCGGGUAAGUUCCGACCUGCACGAAUGGCGUAAUGAUGGCCAGGCUGUCUCCACCCGAGACUCAGUGAAAUUGAACUCGCUGUGAAGAUGCAGUGUACCCGCGGCAAGACGGAAAGACCCCGUGAACCUUUACUAUAGCUUGACACUGAACACUGGUCCUUGAUGUGUAGGAUAGGUGGGAGGCUUUGAAGCGUGGACGCCAGUCUGCGUGGAGCCAACCUUGAAAUACCACCCUUUAAUGGCUGGUGUUCUAACGUAGACCCGUAAUCCGGGUUGCGGACAGUGUCUGGUGGGUAGUUUGACUGGGGCGGUCUCCUCCCAAAGAGUAACGGAGGAGCACGAAGGUUGGCUAAUCCUGGUCGGACAUCAGGAGGUUAGUGCAAUGGCAUAAGCCAGCUUGACUGCGAGCGUGACGGCGCGAGCAGGUGCGAAAGCAGGUCAUAGUGAUCCGGUGGUUCUGAAUGGAAGGGCCAUCGCUCAACGGAUAAAAGGUACUCCGGGGAUAACAGGCUGAUACCGCCCAAGAGUUCAUAUCGACGGCGGUGUUUGGCACCUCGAUGUCGGCUCAUCACAUCCUGGGGCUGAAGUAGGUCCCAAGGGUAUGGCUGUUCGCCAUUUAAAGUGGUACGCGAGCUGGGUUUAGAACGUCGUGAGACAGUUCGGUCCCUAUCUGCCGUGGGCGCUGGAGAAUUGAGGGGGGCUGCUCCUAGUACGAGAGGACCGGAGUGGACGCAUCACUGGUGUUCGGGUUGUCAUGCCAAUGGCACUGCCCGGUAGCUAAAUGCGGAAGAGAUAAGUGCUGAAAGCAUCUAAGCACGAAACUUGCCCCGAGAUGAGUUCUCCCUGAGACUUUAAGUCUCCUGAAGGAACGUUGAAGACGACGACGUUGAUAGGUCGGGUGUGUAAGCGCAGCGAUGCGUUGAGCUAACCGAUACUAAUGAACCGUGAGGCUUAACC
rnacentral:rRNA from 1 species